rnacentral:rRNA from 1 species
UACAGAGGUGGCAAGCGUUGUUCGGAAUUACUGGGCGUAAAGGGCUCGUAGGUGGCCAACUAAGUCAGACGUGAAAUCCCUCAGCUUAACUGGGGAACUGCGUCUGAUACUGGAUGGCUUGAGUUUGGGAGAGGGAUGCGGAAUUCCAGGUGUAGCGGUGAAAUGCGUAGAUAUCUGGAGGAACACCGGUGGCGAAGGCGGCAUCCUGGACCAACACUGACACUGAUGAGCGAAAGCCAGGGGAGCAAACGGG